GAAUUCGCCCUUAGAGUUUGAUCCUGGUUCAGGAUGAACGCUGACAGAAUGCUUAACACAUGCAAGUCGAUUCAAUUUACCUUCGGGUAUUGAGGAUGGCGGACGGGUGAGUAACGCGUAAGGAACUUGCCUCUUGGUCUGGGACAACUGUUGGAAACGACAGCUAAUACCGGAUAUUAUGAGAUUCUCGCAUGGGAAACUUAUGAAAGCUAUAUGCGCCAAGAGAGAGCCUUGCGUUCCAUUAGCUAGUUGGUGGGGUAACGGCCCACCAAGGCGACGAUGGAUAGCCGGCCUGAGAGGGUGAACGGCCACAAGGGGACUGAGACACGGCCCUUACUCCUACGGGAGGCAGCAGUGGGGAAUAUUGGGCAAUGGACCAAAAGUCUGAUCCAGCAAUUCUGUGUGCACGAUGAAGGUCUUCGGAUUGUAAAGUGCUUUCAGUUGGGAAGAAGCAAGUGACGGUACCAACAGAAGAAGCGACGGCUAAAUACGUGCCAGCAGCCGCGGUAAUACGUAUGUCGCAAGCGUUAUCCGGAUUUAUUGGGCGUAAAGCGCGUCUAGGCGGAAAAAUAAGUCUGAUGUUAAAAUGCGGGGCUCAACUCCGUAUUGCGUUGGAAACUGUUUUUCUAGAGUACUGGAGAGGUGGGCGGAACUACAAGUGUAGAGGUGAAAUUCGUAGAUAUUUGUAGGAAUGCCGAUGGAGAAGUCAGCUCACUGGACAGAUACUGACGCUAAAGCGCGAAAGCGUGGGGAGAAAACAGGAUUNGUNCCCUGGUGUCCNCNCCGUACCCUAAAAGGAAUAGGUGUUGGGGGUGGACCCUCAAGCGCCCAAGCUAACACGAUAAAUAAUCCGCCUGGGGAGUGCGCACGCAAGUGUGAAACUCAAAGGAAUGGACGGGGAGCCGCACAAGCGGUGGAGCAUGUGGUUUAAUUCGACGCAACGCGAGAAACCUUACCAGCGUUUGACAUCCUAAGAAGUUUCCAGAGAUGGAUUCGUGCCGGCUUGCCGGAACUUAGUGACAGGUGGUGCAUGGCUGUCGUCAGCUCGUGUCGUGAGAUGUUGGGUUAAGUCCCGCAACGAGCGCAACCCCUAUUGUAUGUUGCUACCAUUAAGUUGAGCACUCAUGCGAUACUGCCUGCGAUGAGCAGGAGGAAGGUGGGGAUGACGUCAAGUCAUCAUGCCCCUUAUACGCUGGGGUACACACGUGCUACAAUGGGCAGUACAGAGAGUUGCCAACCCGCGAGGGUGAGCUAAUCUCUUAAAGCUGUUCUUAGUUCGGAUUGUACUCUGCAACUCGAGUACAUGAAGUUGG
rnacentral:rRNA from 1 species